rnacentral:rRNA from 1 species
GACGAACGCUGGCGGCGUGCUUAACACAUGCAAGUCGAACGGAGCACCCUUGACUGAGGUUUCGGCCAAAUGAUAGGAAUGCUUAGUGGCGGACUGGUGAGUAACGCGUGAGGAACCUGCCUUCCAGAGGGGGACAACAGUUGGAAACGACUGCUAAUACCGCAUGACGCAUGACCGGGGCAUCCCGGGCAUGUCAAAGAUUUUAUCGCUGGAAGAUGGCCUCGCGUCUGAUUAGCUAGAUGGUGGGGUAACGGCCCACCAUGGCGACGAUCAGUAGCCGGACUGAGAGGUUGACCGGCCACAUUGGGACUGAGAUACGGCCCAGACUCCUACGGGAGGCAGCAGUGGGGAAUAUUGGGCAAUGGACGCAAGUCUGACCCAGCAACGCCGCGUGAAGGAAGAAGGCUUUCGGGUUGUAAACUUCUUUUGUCAGGGAAGAGUAGAAGACGGUACCUGACGAAUAAGCCACGGCUAACUACGUG